CUCAGGGCUGGCUGGGACCGGGCAGCAGAGUCUGAAACACGUCCUUGGAUUGGAUGCUAGAACCAGCGUUGAAUGUAACUUUCUUUCCGAUUGGUUAGACAGGUGCUUGGAGGGGUUGUAUCGGACCUAAGAGUAGAGGUUGAUUCCACUCUCCCACCACGCACUUUUCGUAUCAUCCUAGAUCUGGAUGCCCUUCAUGGAACCUAAAAACCAGCGAGUCCCGGAAAGGCCUCAGGCAAUUGCCAAGCCGAUGGCCUUCUGCCACUUAGUUAAUGUGCACCUGGCAGCUUAGGUGGCCGCGGAGAAAGCAACUUUGGCUGCACCAAGGUCCGGCACAAGUCUGGAGAAGCUUCAGCCAGUUCCAGCUUUGGUAUCAGGAUGACGCUGGCCUCAUAAAAUGAGUUAGGGAGGAUUCCCUCUCUUUCUAUUGAUUGGAAUAGUUUCAGAAGGAAUGGUACCAGCUACUCCUUGUACCUCUGGUAGAAUUCGGCUGUCAGUCUGUCUGGUCCUGGACUUUUUUUGAUGGCUGGAGUCAGCUGGCAAAUACAGAAGCAGGAAACAUUACACUGAAGCUCAGAAAAUAAUAUCCCCAAAUGAAGGCAUCAGAAAUAAAAGUUCUUCUCUGACCUUCUUUCUCUCAAGACAUUGUAUUAUGAAAAAUUUCCAGCAUACAGAAAAGUUGAAGAACACCCACAUGCCUGCUACUCAGAUUCUACAAUAAACAUUUGCUAUAUUUGUUUUACCUACAUAUCUAGUCAUCCAUCCAUCCAUUCAUAUUAUUUUUAAUGCACGUCUUAUUUUUUAAUGCACUGUCAACUACAGACAUCAGUACUCUUCACCUCCAAACAUUUCAGCAACAUAUCAUUAACGAUAGUCAAAAAUUUGUUUAGAGUUCCUUUUGUUUUAAAUAAAAUUUAUAAAGAAUGAAAUGUGUAAUUCUUAAGUGUACUAUUCUUUGAGUUUUCACAAAUGCAUAGACCUAUGUAACCUAAAGUCCUAUGAAGAUGUAGAAUAUCCCAUCCCCCUAGGAAGUUCCCUCAUGGCCCUUCCAAAUAAUCUCUGCUUACUCUGGUUUUCAAGUAACCACUGUUUUGCCU
rnacentral:lncRNA from 1 species